rnacentral:rRNA from 1 species
AUUGAACGCUAGCGGGAUGCCUUACACAUGCAAGUCGAACGGCAGCGGGAAGUAGCUUGCUACUUUGCCGGCGAGUGGCGAACGGGUGAGUAAUGUAUCGGAACGUGCCCAGUAGCGGGGGAUAACUACGCGAAAGCGUGGCUAAUACCGCAUACGCCUACGGGGAAAGGGGGGUACGGUCUUCGGUAGCCUCUCACUAUUGGAGCGGCCGAUAUCGGAUUAGCUAGUUGGUGGGGUAAAGGCCU